AUGCCAAAAAAAAUCAGUUUUCUUUUUGCUAUUUUAUUUGAUUUUAUUAUUAAUCACACAUGUCCAGCUGGAGAUACUCUUAGAUUUUGGACGCCGAUAAGUGCCGUACGUGUGGGCAUUAGGAGGUUUGCCCACACAUUUUGUGUGGUGUAUAAGAGGAACAGCCCACACAUCUACAUGUGGGCAAAACAAGUAAUGCCCACACACCUCUUUUUUUUCCUCCCGAUCCCUCUCACACGCGUGCGUGUGGGCGAAAUAGAUAACGCCCACACGCCCCGUACAUCAGGCCUCGUACCUCGUGGUCCCGCACGCCCCGCGUGA
rnacentral:rRNA from 1 species